GAUCCUGGCUCAGGAUGAACGCUGGCGGCGUGCCUAACACAUGCAAGUCGAGCGAAGCACUUUGCCUAGAUUCUUCGGAUGAAGAGGAUUGUGACUGAGCGGCGGACGGGUGGUAACGCGUGGUAACCUGCCUCAUACAGGGGGAUAACAGUUAGAAAUGACUGCUAAUACCGCAUAAGACCACAGCACCGCAUGGUGCGGGGGUAAAAACUCCGGUGGUAUGAGAUGGACCCGCG
rnacentral:rRNA from 1 species